ACGCUCGACACCUACGGGGGGCAGCAGUGGGGAAUAUUGCACAAUGGGGGAAACCCUGAUGCAGCGACGCCGCGUGAAGGAAGAAGUAUUUCGGUAUGUAAACUUCUAUCAGCAGGGAAGAAGAUGACGGUACCUGACUAAGAAGCCCCGGCUAACUACGUGUCAGCAGCCGCGGUAAUCUGAGGCGGGCUGGCAAGGC
rnacentral:rRNA from 1 species